GACGAACGCUGGCGGCGUGCUUAACACAUGCAAGUCGAACGGAAAGGCCUGCUUUCCCUUGUGGAUUGCGGGUACUCGAGUGGCGAACGGGUGAGUAACACGUGAGUGAUCUGCCCCCAACUUGGGUAUAAGCCUGGGAAACUGGGUCUAAUUCCCGAUAGGACUGCAGGGUGGUGCCUGUGGUGGAAAACGAUUUUCUAGUGGUUGGGGAUGAGCUCGCGGCCUAUCAGCUUGUUGGUGGGGUAAUGGCCUACCAAGGCGGCGACGGGUAGCCGGCCUGGGAGGGUGGACGGCCACAUUGGGACUGAGAUGCGGCCCAGACUCCUACGGGAGGCAGCAGUGGGGAAUAUUGCACAAUGGGCGGAAGCCUGAUGCAGCGACGCCGCGUGGGGGAUGACGGCCUUCGGGUUGUAAACUCCUUUCGACCGCGAGGAAGCCACCUGGUUGGAAGGGUGGUGACGGUAGUGGUAGAAGAAGCACCGGCUAACUACGUG
rnacentral:rRNA from 1 species